AACGGUAACAGGAUGUGCUUGCACAUCGCUGACGAGUGGCGGACGGGUGAGUAAUGCUUAGGGAUCUGCCUCUGUGUGGGGGAUAACUAUUGGAAACGAUAGCUAAUACCGCAUAAUGUUUACGGACCAAAGGGGGCGUUUGCUCCCGCGCAGAGAGGAACCUAAGUGAGAUUAGCUAGUUGGUAAGGUAAUGGCUUACCAAGGCGACGAUCUCUAGCUGUUCUGAGAGGAAGAUCAGCCACACUGGGACUGAGACACGGCCCAGACUCCUACGGGAGGCAGCAGUGGGGAAUAUUGCACAAUGGGGGGAACCCUGAUGCAGCCAUGCCGCGUGUGUGAAGAAGGCCUUCGGGUUGUAAAGCACUUUCAGUUGUGAGGAAAGGUUAGUAGUUAAUACCUGCUAGCUGUGACGUUAGCAACAGAAGAAGCACCGGCUAACUCCGUGCCAGCAGCCGCGGUAAUACGGAGGGUGCGAGCGUUAAUCGGAAUUACUGGGCGUAAAGCGCACGCAGGCGGUUUGUUAAGCUAGAUGUGAAAGCCCCGAGCUCAACUUGGGAUGGUCAUUUAGAACUGGCAGACUAGAGUCUUGGAG
rnacentral:rRNA from 1 species